rnacentral:misc_RNA from 1 species
GGAAUCUUCCGCAAUGGACGAAAGUCUGACGGAGCAACGCCGCGUGAGUGAUGAAGGUUUUCGGAUCGUAAAGCUCUGUUGUUAGGGAAGAACAAGUACCGUUCGAAUAGGGCGGUACCUUGACGGUACCUAACCAGAAAGCCACGGCUAACUACGUGCCAGCAGCCGCGGUAAUACGUAGGUGGCAAGCGUUGUCCGGAAUUAUUGGGCGUAAAGGGCUCGCAGGCGGUUUCUUAAGUCUGAUGUGAAAGCCCCCGGCUCAACCGGGGAGGGUCAUUGGAAACUGGGGAACUUGAGUGCAGAAGAGGAGAGUGGAAUUCGACGUGUAGCGGUGAAAUGCGUAGAGAUGUGGAGGAACACCAGUGGCGAAGGCGACUCUCUGGUCUGUAACUGACGCUGAGGAGCGAAAGCGUGGGGAGCGAACAGGA